rnacentral:rRNA from 1 species
UACGUAGGGUGCAAGCGUUGUCCGGAAUUAUUGGGCGUAAAGAGCGUGUAGGCGGCCCGAUAAGUCCGCUGUGAAAGUCCAGGGCUCAACCCUGGGAUGCCGGUGGAUACUGUCGGGCUCGAGUCCGGAAGAGGAGUGUGGAAUUCCUGGUGUAGCGGUGAAAUGCGCAGAUAUCAGGAGGAACACCAAUGGCGAAGGCAGCACUCUGGGACGUGACUGACGCUGAGACGCGAAAGCGUGGGGAGCAAACAGG